CUGCAUGUUAAUCCAAGAGCUGUGGCUCUGACGUAGCUGCAGGUCUCCAACAACAUGCAAGAGCAACGGGAAGGUCUUUGACUGCUCGGCCUCUUCUGCCUGUUGCUGUCACUCACCCCUCCUAUAUAUU
rnacentral:snoRNA from 1 species